UCCGGGAUCAGUGCGGUCAGGCAAAGCAAUGUCCUCGCCGGUUCGACAGCUUCUGCUUCAUCGCCGAAAUUGACUUCACGUUUUUUUUUAUAUGGUGAUUUUCUAUGUCGGAUGACGUUUUAAAUAUGAUGGUAUCUGCAAAUUUAAUAACAGCGCUCGACGUGACCAGAUCGAUUGAAAACAUUUCACGGUGUGAAAGUUAAACCGUGUUGAAAUUGUCGUGCCGUUGCAGCCACGUGGCGGAGCACGUGGUGGACGCUUUUCUGUGAAUGCAGUUUAUUAAAAUCUUCAAUGCCGUUUUGGAUCAGGAAUAACUUAAGAAUGUCCUGGAUCCGUUUGACUCAGAAGAGCACUAUAAAUCUUUAAAUAAAGCCCAUUUUCCACCUAC